GGAGAGGUGCAGGGAAUGGUUAUCCGGACAGUCUUGAAAACUGUUUCCGCCAAAAGCGGAUUGUGGGUUCGAGUCCCACCCUCUCCG
rnacentral:tRNA from 1 species